AUUGAACGCUGGCGGCAGGCCUAACACAUGCAAGUCGAGCGGGGUUUUCGGACCUAGCGGCGGACGGGUGAGUAAUGCGUAGGAAGCUGCCCGAUAGAGGGGGAUACCAGUUGGAAACGACUGUUAAUACCGCAUAAUGUCUACGGACCAAAGUGUGGGACCUUCGGGCCACAUGCUAUCGGAUGCGCCUACGUGGGAUUAGCUAGUUGGUGAGGUAAUGGCUCACCAAGGCGACGAUCCCUAGCUGGUUUGAGAGGAUGAUCAGCCAUACUGGAACUGAGACACGGUCCAGACUCCUACGGGAGGCAGCAGUGGGGAAUAUUGGACAAUGGGCGCAAGCCUGAUCCAGCCAUGCCGCGUGUGUGAAGAAGGCCUUCGGGUUGUAAAGCACUUUCAGCGAGGAGGAAGGGGUGUGUGUUAAUAGUACACACCUUUGACGUUACUCGCAGAAGAAGCACCGGCUAACUCUGUGCCAGCCGCCGCCGUAAGAC
rnacentral:rRNA from 1 species